CCCUCACCCAUGGCCAGCCUGUGCCGACCCGGGGCUCCCCACCACGCCGGGAGGCCGGGGGGCCGGGGGGGCUGACCGUGCGGAACACCCCGAGACCGCAGCCCGCCCACGGGGCCCAGAGCAGGCUUGGGGAGGCGCCGCGGCUGCCGGCUGCCUGCGCCCGCCGCCGUCCCGGCUUCUCUUCCUCCCGCAGCCCCCGCCGCCCGGGAGGCCCGGGGUCCCAGCGCCCCGCAGCCCCCGCCGCCGCGCCCUAGCCUCGGCCUGCAGGGCCUCAGCCAGACUUCCUACCCCAAACCCAGGGCUGGGAAGAAGGAGGAGCCUCUGACAGCUCUGUCUCUUCAGAGGUUUGAGCUGGACAAAGCAGCCUUCUCCCUGGUAGGAUGGCCUCGCCCUUCAGCUCUCCCACUUUCAGGCUUGAGACAUCAGAUGGAGGCCAGGAAGAUGGCAGUGAGGUGGACAAAGGAAAGGCAGGCCCCGGGGCUGGGCCACCCCCCAUGGAGUCACCAUUCCAAGGGGAGGAUCGCAAGUGCUCUCCUCAGAUCAAAGUAAACCUCAGCUUCCGCAAAGGAGCAGGUGUCAGCCAGCCGGACCCAAACCGCUUUGACCGUGAUCGGCUCUUCAGCGUGGUUGCCCGGGGUGUCCCCGAGGAUCUGGCUGGGUUACCAGAGUACCUGUCCCGGACCAGCAAGUACCUCACUGACUCAGAGUACACAGAGGGCUCCACGGGCAAGACGUGCCUGAUGAAGGCUGUGUUAAACCUUCGGGAUGGCGCCAACGCCUGCAUCCUGCCAUUGCUUCAGAUCGACCGGAACUCUGGCAAUCCCCAGCCCCUGGUCAAUGCCCAAUGCACGGAUGAGUACUACCGAGGCCACAGCGCCCUGCAUAUUGCCAUCGAGAAGAGGAGCCUGCAAUGUGUGAAGCUCUUGGUGGAGAACGGGGCCAAUGUGCAUGCCCAGGCCUGUGGCCAAUUCUUCCAGAAAAAGAGCCAAGGGACUUGCUUCUACUUUGGUGAGCUGCCCCUCUCUCUGGCUGCGUGCACCAAGCAGUGGGAUGUGGUGACCUACCUCCUGGAGAACCCGCAUCAGCCUGCCAGCCUGCAGGCAGCCGACUCGCUGGGCAACACGGCCUUGCAUGCCUUGGUGAUGAUCGCAGACAACUCAGCCGAGAACAGUGCCCUGGUGAUCCGCAUGUAUGAUGCGCUCCUCCGUGCUGGGGCCCGCCUCUGCCCCAAAGUGCAGCUCGAGGACAUCCCCAACCUGCAGGGCCUCACGCCUCUGAAGCUGGCUGCCAAGGAGGGCAAAAUUGAGAUUUUCAGGCACAUCCUGCAGCGGGAGUUCUCGGGGCCGUGCCAGUCACUUUCCCGAAAGUUUACUGAGUGGUGCUACGGGCCUGUCCGGGUGUCGCUGUAUGACCUGGCCUCUGUGGACAGCUGGGAGGAGAACUCCGUGCUGGAGAUCAUCGCCUUUCAUUGCAGAAGCCCGCACCGACAUCGAAUGGUGGUUUUGGAACCGCUGAACAAACUGCUACAGGCGAAAUGGGAUCUGCUAAUCCCCAGAUUCUUCUUCAACUUCCUGUGUUACCUGACCUACAUGUUCAUCUUUACCGCUGUUGCUUACCACCAGCCAGCCCUGGGGAAGGCCUUCCUCCCCCCGACCGUGACUGCUGGGGACUCCAUGCUGCUGCUGGGCCACAUCCUGAUCCUCCUUGGGGGGGUCUACCUCCUGGUGGGCCAGCUAUGGUACUUCUGGAGGCGUCGUCUGUUCAUCUGGAUCUCCUUCGUGGACAGCUACUUUGAACUGCUCUUCCUGGUCCAGGCCCUGCUCACAGUGCUGUCCCAGGGACUGUGUUUCCUGGCCGUGGAGUGGUACCUGCCUCUGCUUGUGUCUUCCCUGGUGCUGGGCUGGCUGAACCUGCUCUAUUAUACACGCGGCUUGCAGCACACAGGCAUCUACAGUGUCAUGAUCCAGAAGGUCAUCCUGCGGGACCUGCUCCGCUUCCUGCUGGUCUACUUAGUCUUCCUGUUUGGCUUCGCUGUAGCCCUGGUGAGCCUGAGCCGGGAAGCCCGGGACUCUGGGGUCCCCACAGGCCCCAAUGUCACGGAGGCAGCGCAGUCUGGGGCAGGACAGGGGGACUCGGAGGGCAGCUCCUCCCCAUAUGGUGGCAUACUGGACGCUUCCUUGGAGCUCUUCAAGUUCACCAUCGGCAUGGGGGAGCUGGCAUUCCAAGACCAGCUGCGCUUCCGCGGCGUGGUGCUACUGCUGCUCCUGGCCUAUGUGCUGCUCACCUACAUCCUGCUGCUCAAUAUGCUCAUCGCCCUCAUGAGCGAGACCGUCAACAGUGUUGCCACUGACAGCUGGAGCAUCUGGAAGCUGCAGAAAGCCAUCUCUGUCCUGGAGAUGGAGAAUGGCUACUGGUGGUGCAGGAGGAAGAAGCAGCGGGCCGGUGUGAAGCUGACCGUUGGGACCAGGCCGGAUGGUAGCUCUGAUGAGCGCUGGUGCUUCAGGGUGGAGGAAGUGAACUGGGCUGCGUGGGAGCAGACGCUGCCAACAGUGUGUGAAGAGCCAUCAGGCCCAGCUGUCCCUGAGGUCAUUCUCCAAAGGCGGAGAGCUGUCGGCGCGCAGGGGUUCGGAGAGGCUCCGUGGAUACUCUGCAAGAGCUGUGGGGAGAGCAGCCUGGCAGCAAGAAUUAGAAGCAGCUAUUUUAUGAAUGUUCGCUGCCUGCCAAGACUACACAGGGUUUCACGCUUGACGUCGCAUGCGAUCCUCAGAACAACGUCUGCCGUGCCGGUAGCUCUCCUGACCACGUGAGCAAUCGGAAAGCUCACAAAGGCAGAGAAUCUUGGUCCAAACCACGCAGCUUGGCAGCGACGGGUUUUCACAACCGAGCUCCAGCCCCCACGCAUGCGCCCUGGGACCCUCCCGUCGCUGAGGGACCCAGAAUUCCCGGGUCCAUGGAAGAGACCAUAGGCUCUAAUGGAGGGGGGGCCGGCGUGGUGAGGCGGAGUCUGCCCCGUCAAAUGGGCAGGAAGUUCCCGUGAGGCUUUGCUAGUGUUACCCUCCCUUCUGCGCGGAAUGGGACGUUCCGACUCCUUAAAGGCCGGGGACGCGGCUCAAGCGACCUUUUCGUUAUUGCGAUAAUGGAGCGCCGCCGCCGUGUGAGGAGCCCGAGGUUCCCGAAGACCGGCCCCCCGCUCCCCGGACCCGGCGUGGGGAGUGCACCGACCCCGGAGGCGUGGCCUCCUCGGUCUAGAUGAACGUGUCCCUGCAGAACCUGCCCUUAACGCGUGUCGCCGGCCAUGUUCCAGGCAGCCGACGGCCUGCAGCGCCUUCAAGCGGGGAUCGGCAUCCCACCCUGAGAUUGCAGAUGCGUGUGCGGUUGCCAGUGUGAUCAGGUCACCAGCAGUGGAGUGUUGGAGUGUGAGCGCUGACCUGCCUCCAGGUUUUGUGUGUUGAAGUUCUCCAGAAUGGUGGUCAGCAGUGUGGAGUUUUAAAGCUGCAGCCCAAGAAGAGGCUAUUUUCCUAGAGCAUGCUCAGCCUUGCUGCAGCAGGGGAAGAACUUCAAAGGUUCAAGGACCAGUGGUCACCGUCAGUUUGGACUGAAAACCCAGCUUCAGCAGUUUGUGGAAACACUGCUUACCUUGUGCUGGGAUUCAUAGAGGCCAUUCUCUUAAUGGCAGAGCCAACAAAUGUGUUUGGCAACAUUUUCUUAGGAUAGGCAAUGUUGGUGUCAUUAAAUUGAGUUUUUUAGUAACGUAUUACAAAUAUUGUAGCCUUCUCAACUCCUUUGUGCAAACAGCUUUUGUGUUUACUUGUAAGAAUUUGUUCUGUUGGGUAAGGUUCUCUUUAAGCUGGAAACUUACUACUGAGACUAAUAUUUCCAUGUAAUCACCAUAAGCCAAUACUGCAAUAAAGAAUGGUCUUUAGUA